rnacentral:rRNA from 1 species
CAGUAGCGUAUAUUAAUGUUGUUGCAGUUAAAAAGCUCGUAGUUGAAUUUCUGGUUGGAGUGACCGGUCCGAGCCCUCGGGUUCGUGUACUUGUGUUUUUUUUUUUAUCUCCGACCAUCCUUACGGUGAGUGCGUCGUGGCGUUGAUUCGUCGUGCGUAGGACCCGUAACAUUUACUGUGAAAAAAUUAGAGUGUUUAAAGCAGGCAAUUGCUGUGAAUACAUUAGCAUGGAAUAAUAAGAUAGGACUUUGGUGUUAUUUUGUUGGUUUGCACGCCAGGUAAUGAUGAAUAGGAACAGUUGGGGGUAUUCGUAUUUAAAUGUCAGAGGUGAAAUUCUAGGAUCUUUUAAAGACGAACUACUGCGAAAGCAUUUACCAAAGAUGUUUNCAUUAA